rnacentral:lncRNA from 1 species
UGACAACAUACAACAGUGUACCAUCUAAAACUCGUCUUUAAAGCUAUCCCAUUUGACAAAACAGAGCAGCAAGUCGUCCCCUAGGCCAGGUAACUUGAGACCCAUUUUUAAAGCUAAAAUUUUCAGUAAUAAAAAAAAUCCCAAAAUGGUUUCUUUUUUUUUAGGCUUUAGAGUUGUAAUUUGGUUUUUUUGCCAGAUUCCAUGAGGAAGAUGUGAUCUGUGGAUUAUGAAAUUGUUUAUGUUAAUACCAUGAUUAUAACUUCUUUAAACAUUUUCUUUCUUCUCAUGAUAUUGUGUCUAGGAUGAACCUUAUAUGACAUGUUUGCAUGCAGGUAGAAUAUCUAAAAGAAGGGGAAAAGGGUGGUGGGGGGUCCACUCCAAUUGUAUUGGGAAUAAGAAUUUGGAGAGUGAUAUCAUCAUGUGGACCCUUACAUUUCUGUUUUCUUUUAUAUGCAAAAUAAUUUUUUUAAAAGAACCCAGAAAGGAAAAAAGUUAGCACAGAACAGGCAUAGG